AUGGCGACAUCACUGGAGGAGGAGCAGGCUGCGGCGGCGGCGGCGGCAGACAAUCUUGAUGAGGAGGUGGAGCAGAGGGAACAGGGCGAGGAGGAGGCCACGCCGGUGGUGCUGAAGAAGGGGCCGUGGACGACGGCGGAAGACGCCUUGCUGGUGAACCACGUGCGGCAGCACGGCGAGGGCAACUGGAACGCCGUGCAGCGCAUCACCGGGCUCCUGCGCUGCGGCAAGAGCUGCCGGCUGCGCUGGACCAACCACCUCCGCCCCAACCUCAAGAAGGGCGCCUUCUCGCCGGACGAGGAGCUCCUCGUCGCGCAGCUCCACGCCCAGCUCGGCAACAAGUGGGCCCGCAUGGCCACCCAUCUCCCGGGAAGGACGGACAACGAGAUCAAGAACUACUGGAACACGAGGGCGAAGCGGAGGCAGCGCGCCGGUCUGCCCAUGUACCCGCCGGAGGUGCAGCUCCAGCUCGCGAUCACCAAGCGCUGCCGGUACACCGACUUCUCGCCCCCGCAGCAAUCAGCGGGAACCAAUGUCCUGGACGCCACCGAUGCGGGGUAUACCAGCGCCCGCCCGCCGCCGCUCGACCUUGCCGGGCAGCUCGCCAUGGCCAACCAGCCGGUGCAGUUCCUCUCCCAGACGCCCUUCUCCGCGCCGUCUUCCCCGUGGGUGAAGCCGUCGUUCGCGCGCAACGCGCGCUACUUCCAGUUUCCGCAUUCAUCGCCCGUGUCGCCGACGACGCCGGAGCUGUCGUUGGGCCACCGCCUGCCCGGCGGCGACCGGACCCGGUUCACUCCUCUCUCUCCGUCUCCGGGAGCCAAGGUGGAGCUCCCUUCGAACCAAUUGCGCCCGGCGUCACCAGCCACCGCUACAGCCGACAACGGCGGCGGCUUGGGCGAGGAUCAGCAGAACCUCGAGGCGAUGCUGCAGGAGCUGCAUGAUGCCAUCAAGAUCGAGCCGCCGAAGCACCUGAGCGGCCACGCCGAGCAGAACGGCGCCAGUGGUGGCAACAAAUCGGAGGGCGAACUACUCAAAGAUGAUGAUGACAUCGGCACACUGUUCGACAUGAUUAUACCGAAGGGCUUCCCGAUGACGGAGCCCGCACCACCGACCGUGGGGCCCAACCACUCUGGCGGCUCGAUCUCGCAACAUGGCAGCGACGACCACAACGUCAACCUCAGUGUGGAUCAUCUCCUGGUCAUGUCAUCGGAGCAGGACUGGGUCCUCGAUGGGGCCUGCCAGUGGAACAACAUGUCCGGCAUCUGCUGA
rnacentral:rRNA from 1 species